rnacentral:lncRNA from 1 species
GUCAAUAAAGGUCUAGCUUAUCCUGGUUUUCUUGUUAUAGUAUCUUAUGUGUUGGCAUCCCCUUUAGUGGCUGCAAGGUAUUUUGAAUUCUCUUCGGCUCUACAGUGUUCAAAAAAUUGUGAACUUUAGCCUAGUGAGAAGUAGUUGAUAGGUAAGAGUGCUUUUGAGUUUGAGUGGCUAGGAUGAACAAACAUUCUCCUUGCGAAUUAUUUGUAUAUUUGUGAUGAAGCACGAAUGUGAUGGUAAAAUCUACGGUAAGUAAUAAGUGCUUAAAUCUUGGCCUUUUUGAUGUUAAUACAACUUAAGAUUUCUUUCUUUAUACACCUUUCUAAUACUGUGAUUCAUCUGUCUUUGCCUUGUGCAGUUUCUGUAGAGGAAGGAAUGUUUGAAAGGAAGGAGCCCAGUGUUGUCUAUGCAUCUGUUGACCCCUAGCUCUAAUUCAUUUCUGUCUCUGUAUUUCAUUUGUGUUUGCCCCUAUGGUUCUGAAAUUUGUCACCUUAGUUAUGUGAGAUAAAAUUUGUUGUGGAAAGUCUCUUUCAGUUUCUCACUUCUAUCGACACCUAAUAAUUUGAUGGCUUAUUCAUCUCUGCCAGUGAACCUUGUUCUCAUGUUUACUGAAUGCAUAGAUGAUCCCAUAAAUGAGGGAGGA